GAUGAACGCUGGCUACAGGCUUAACACAUGCAAGUCGAGGGGAAACGACGGGGAAGCUUGCUUCCCCGGGCGUCGACCGGCGCACGGGUGAGUAACGCGUAUCCAACCUGCCUCUGACUGAGGGAUAACCCGUCGAAAGUCGGCCUAAUACCUCAUGGUAUCGUCUGCGGGCAUCCAACGACGAUUAAAGAUUUCAUCGGUCAGGGAUGGGGAUGCGUCUGAUUAGCUUGUUGGCGGGAUAACGGCCCACCAAGGCUACGAUCAGUAGGGGUUCUGAGAGGAAGGUCCCCCACAUUGGAACUGAGACACGGUCCAAACUCCUACGGGAGGCAGCAGUGAGGAAUAUUGGUCAAUGGGCGAGAGCCUGAACCAGCCAAGUAGCGUGCAGGAAGACGGCCCUAUGGGUUGUAAACUGCUUUUAUGCGGGGAUAAAGUGAGGGACGUGUCCCUCAUUGCAGGUACCGCAUGAAUAAGGACCGGCUAAUUCCGUG
rnacentral:rRNA from 1 species